rnacentral:rRNA from 1 species
GCGCCCUGGGAUGAGCCCGCGUUAGAUUAGCUAGUUGGUGGGGUAAUGGCCCACCAAGGCGACGAUCUAUAGCUGGUCUGAGAGGAUGAUCAGCCACACUGGGACUGAGACACGGCCCAG